rnacentral:lncRNA from 1 species
CCAAUUAGAAUAUCAUGAAAUAGCUCCCUCCCGGUUAAAAACUGGAUCCAAAUGAGCAGGGAGGUGCUCGCGCUAUCUAUAGUGGAAGGGGGAUGUACAUUGUUUGGAGUUAAAAAAGGAGGAAAAGGAAAAAAGGAAGGGAUUGAAUCCAAAGAAUAAAAGAAUGAAAAAAUGACCCUUCUGGACAUAUUUACAGGAGCUAAGGGCUCCAUGGCUAGCCCAUAACAGCUAGCAGAAGAGCGAGAGAUUGAUGGAGCACCAAGCAAUGGAAAAUAG